UGCUGGGAGCGGGCUGCGCGCUCCGCCUGCCCCAGCCGGUGCCAGGUCUGCAGCGAGCCCGGCAGCCCGCGUCCUUCCCUCCCCGCCGACCGACGACUUUCAAUUCACCUGCAGGCGGGCCGGGCGGGAGCGGCGCGGAGCCCUCCCGGCAGGCGGCGCGGCGGGAGGGGCCGAGUGGCGAGCGCCCCGGCUGGAGAACAGUCUUGUGAUGCCACGUGCAGAGUCCUCGGAAGCUAAGUCACCCUGGCUGCAAAGGGCGAGGUGGCUAAGUGGGGAAUGCAGGAUCAGGCUGUAUUUUCCCAGUGUAGACAUGGCCAUUUUCUUCCAUGGACCAACUCACAGAAGUAAAAUGAAGCAUAUACAUAAAUGUUUGCAGGAUUAAAAACCUCUACGAUUUGUAAUGCUUGCAGGGACAUAGCUCCAUUCAAAUGAGCAGAUGCGUCAUGAGCAAUCAUUAUACUGAUGAAAUUGGCCUACAGUGCAGAGCAGUUUUAUCCCAAUAUCAAGAUUGAGGUGAAUCUGAACAGAGGGUGUGGCUGAGACCAAGCCUGGAAGAUUCUUCCUAGAAGGAAAGUAAGUGAGUGAGUGAAACCAGGACACUAUAAUGGAAACAUCUUCUCAGAUCUAAAUACAGUGUUAGCUACCAUAAAGACUUAAUACUCUAGCAAAGAACUUCUGUAGCUACUCCCCAGCUGCUGAGUGACCUCUACUCCCAUUGAUUUCAGAGUCGAAGUCUCCUUGAACCUUACAGGAAGCGCUGUGUGUGUGUGGAUCAUCAUGCAGGACCGGGGCAUUGUAAAUACACAUACUUGCACCAUCUUAGUUAAACCACUCCAAAAUCAUGUGCAGGCACUCAUUUUAGUUUAGCUUAAAUCUGUUCCUAAUCAUUUUAAGCUGAACCGAGUAAGUGUCCACCCAGCCUUUUGCCUUAACUAAUCUGGUCAAAAUAACCCCUUACAUUAAAAUGGUGCAAUUCUAUGUGUAGACAAGCUCUAAACUGGGACCUGCUCCUACUUCUAUUGAAGUAAAUGUCAAAGCUUCCAGUGAAUUUACUGAAAGCAGGAUUGGAGUCCUUGCAAAGGAGUUAAGCAAUACUUCUGCUCUGUUGACAUGGAAUUCUUCAAAAGGAAUCUUCUUCUUGAAAAGCAUGUCUGUAUUCGAUACAGCCUUUGUUAGAGAAAGAAGCUCUAUAUAAACUUGUACAUCUGUUAUGGACAGCAAGAUUCUAUAUUGAUAUAUAGCUAUUCUCAAGGAGAGCACAGUAAGCAAUAAGUUAAGAGGAUUGGAUACCGGUACUCACCUAAAGAUCAAUGUUUUUAAAAAUGCUUUUUAGAUGUGAUAUGCCCCUACUUUUUGAGGUUUGUGCUACAUUAAAAUUUUCCAUUUAUGAACCAUUUCUGAUUCUCAAUGAUCAAAUGUAGAAAUGGAGGAAACUAUUUAGAUAUACUGUCCAUAAAACUUCUGUAUCUGGACUGCUGAUUUAAUGGCUCUGCUUUUGCUUUAAUUAAGUUUGCACUGCAUUGGAAGCAACUUAAAUCAUUCAGCAUUUGGAAGACAUGCCCAAAGGAACCCUUUUGCACUGUGGGAGAAGAGGAAGUGAUGGGGAGUGUAGAUGAGUACUACCAAAAGUUAAACUUUCCACACUUUGACCAUUUAAGAACAGUUUAGAAAUAAUAUGAUGGAAGACUCCCCUCACAUAAGAACGGCCAUACUGGGUCAGACCAAAGGUCCAUCUAGCCCAGUAUCCUGUCUUCCGACAGUGGCCAAUGCCAGGCGCCCCAGAGGGAACAAACAGAACAGGUAAUCAUCAAGUGAUCCAUCCCCUGUCGCCCAUUUGCAGCUUCUGGCAAAAAGCUGACUUUCCACCUCCUGCUGUCCCAAAGGAUUUGCUGUUACAGUAAUGCUAUUUUUUGUGAAUCAGGACCAGAACACACGUUUACUCUGUUUCUGCAAUUGUGCAGUACUGAUCGUUCUGUGCAAUGAAGAAUUUGUAAGUCACCUGAAUUGAUUAAGUAUAGUAUUGCACUGCUGCAGAAUUACUUAGCAAAGGCACUGUUCCCAGAAAGCACCAUUUACAGCAACGCGGAGCCACUGCAACAGAACAAAAACCCUGUGGAGGUCAGGGAGCUUGGAAUUCAGACUCUGAGCCAAAUUUAUCCCCUGGUGUAAGUCAUCCUAGUUUUGCAGUCAAUGGAAAAUUAGUUUAGCGCUCAAAGUUUUCUCUGGUCGUAGACAUUUUGGGAGGCAGAGAGGGGGAUGUUUUGUUUCUUCCUUUUGAAUUUCUCCCAUAGAUAUAUCCUUUUGUAUUUUGUUGGACUUAACUUCAGAUCUCCACAGUGAGGAAAAAUUGCAGAAAAACUGUCCUUCAGUAAUUCCGCAAUUAAUGUCUGCAGUGGAGGGAGAAGAAAGGAGUACUGCAACAAACUACAGUUCAUCCUAGCAACAGUCUCUCUCCUUUCAGAACACAACCCUUCACUAAAACUACUAUCAGAGGAAAAUAAUGUAAUUAAAAAUGGCAUAUAUGUAAAUAUUUAUCUCGGGUUUAUAAUAUCCCCCAUCAUCAUAGUAUCUAAUCUCUGAUGGAAAUAAUACCAUAAGAAUGCAAAAUUCUCUCUAUAAUAAAUGUAAAGGAAAACUGUCACAAAUUAAGAAUAACACAUUUCUUUACAUGUAUAACACCACGGAUUAUUAAAACUGAAAUAAUUUAAAAAAUAA